CCUACGGGGGGCAGCAGUCGAGAAUCAUUCACAAUGGGGGAAACCCUGAUGGUGCGACGCCGCGUGGGGGAAUGAAGGUCUUCGGAUUGUAAACCCCUGUCAUGUGGGAGCAAAUUAAAAAGAUAGUACCACAAGAGGAAGAGACGGCUAACUCUGUGCAAGCAGCCGCGGUAAUAUAGAGGUCUCAGGCGUUGUUCGGAAUCACUGGGCGUAAGGCGUGCGUAGGCUGUUUCGUAAGUCGUGUGUGAAAGGCGCGGGCUCAACCCGCGGACGGCACAUGAUACUGCGAGACUAGAGUAAUGGAGGGGGAACCGGAAUUCUCGGUGUAGCAGUGAAAUGCGUAGAUAUCGAGAGGAACACUCGUGGCGAAGGCGGGUUCCUGGACAUUAACUGACGCUGAGGCACGAAGGCCAGGGGAGCGAAAGGGAUUAGAUACCCGUGUAGUC
rnacentral:rRNA from 1 species